CUCUUCCUUUCUCUCACUUUUGAAUCACUUUCAUUCUGGAAAAAGCCAGCUGCCAUGUUGUAAGGACACUCAAGCUGCUCUAUGGAGAGGUCCACAUGGUGAGGAACUGAGGCCUCUGGCCAACAGCCACGUGAGUGUGCCAUCUUGGGAAAGGAUCUGCCAGCCCCAGUCAAGCCUUCAGAUACCUGCCACCCUGCCCAGCAUCUUGACUGCAACCUCAUGAAAGACCUUGAGCCAGAACCUUCCAGGAAUCAUAAAUCCGGUUCUGAUUAUCGCCACACACACAGAUCCUUCUCAAAGAUUCAGAGUCUUAUUCUUUUAUCUCUUCCCUAAAAUACGAUCUAAUUUACAAAACUUUGACUUACAACUCCGCCAGAAGCCCAGCUGGCGUGUGAAGUGAUGCACUCUGCAGCCGGCAGCACUGAAAAGCACCGGCCUCCCGGGAACCCAGCAA
rnacentral:lncRNA from 1 species